rnacentral:rRNA from 1 species
GAUGAACGCUGGCGGCGUGCCUAAUACAUGCGAGUCGAGCGAACAGAUGAGGAGCUUGCUCCUCUGACGUUAGCGGCGGACGGGUGAGUAACACGUGGAUAACCUACCUAUAAGACUGGGAUAACUUCGGGAAACCGGUGCUAAUACCGGAUAAUAUAUUGAACCGCAUGGUUCAAUAGUGAAAGACGGUUUUGCUGUCACUUAUAGAUGGAUCCGCGCCGCAUUAGCUAGUUGGUAAGGUAACGGCUUACCAAGGCGACGAUGCGUAGCCGACCUGAGAGGGUGAUCGGCCACACUGGAACUGAGACACGGUCCAGACUCCUACGGGAGGCAGCAGUAGGGAAUCUUCCGCAAUGGGCGAAAGCCUGACGGAGCAACGCCGCGUGAGUGAUGAAGGUCUUCGGAUCGUAAAACUCUGUUAUUAGGGAAGAACAAAUGUGUAAGUAACUAUGCACGUCUUGACGGUACCUAAUCAGAAAGCCACGGCUAACUACGUG